GUAGUACUCCCUCCAUCCGGAAAUACUUGUCAUCAAAUGAAUAAAAGGGGAUGUAUCUAAAUGUAUAUUAGUUCUAGAUACAUCUUUUUUAUCCAUUUUGAUGACAAGUAUUUUCAUACGGAGGGAGUACUUG
rnacentral:pre_miRNA from 1 species